rnacentral:rRNA from 1 species
GGGCCCGCACAAGCGGUGGAGUAUGUGGUUUAAUUCGAUGCAACGCGAAGAACCUUACCAGGGUUUGACAUCCUGCGAAUCUCUUGGAAACAGGAGAGUGCCUUCGGGAACGCAGUGACAGGUGGUGCAUGGCUGUCGUCAGCUCGUGUCGUGAGAUGUUGGGUUAAGUCCCGCAACGAGCGCAACCCACGUCUUUAGUUGCCAGCAUUUAGUUGGGCACUCUAGCGAGACUGCCGGUGAUAAGCCGGAGGAAGGCGGGGAUGACGUCAAGUCCUCAUGGCCCUUAUGGGCUGGGCUACACACGUGCUACAAUGGCAGUGACAGAGGGACGCUACCUCGCGAGAGGACGCAAAUCUCGAAAAGCUGUCUCAGUUCGGAUUGUUGUCUGCAACUCGACAACAUGAAGUCGGAAUCGCUAGUAAUCGCGUAUC